ACUCCUACGGGAGGCAGCAGUGGGGAAUCUUGGACAAUGGGGGCAACCCUGAUCCAGCCAUGCCGCGUGAGUGAUGAAGGCCCUAGGGUCGUAAAGCUCUUUCGCCAGAGAUGAUAAUGACAGUAUCUGGUAAAGAAACCCCGGCUAACUCCGUGCCAGCAGCCGCGGUAAUACGGAGGGGGUUAGCGUUGUUCGGAAUUACUGGGGCGUAAAGCGCACGUAGGCGGAUUGGAAAGUUAGAGGUGAAAUCCCGGGGCUCAACCCCGGAACUGCCUUUAAAACUCCCAGUCUUGAGUUCGAGAGAGGUGAGUGGAAUUCCGAGUGUAGAGGUGAAAUUCGUAGAUAUUCGGAGGAACACCAGUGGCGAAGGCGGCUCACUGGCUCGAUACUGACGCUGAGGUGCGAAAGUGUGGGGAGCAAACAGGAUUAGAUACCCUGGUAGGAUAGCG
rnacentral:rRNA from 1 species